rnacentral:tRNA from 1 species
GGAGCCGUGUUGGAGUGGUCUAUCAAGCAUCUUUGCUAAAGAUGUAGGGGCUUUAAAACCCCUCGAGGGUUCGAAUCCCUCCGGCUCCG